rnacentral:rRNA from 1 species
CCCCUAGAUGUUCUGGGCCGCACGCGCGCUACACUGAACAGUUCAACAAGUCUUAACCUUGGCCGAUAGGCCUGGGCAAUCUUUGAACGCCAGUCGUGAUGGGGAUAGAUUCUUGCAAUUUUUGAUCUUCAACGAGGAAUUCCUAGUAAACGCGAGUCAUCAACUCGCAUUGAUUACGUCCCUGCCCUUUGUACACACCGCCCGUCGCACCUACCGAUUGAAUGGUCCGGUGAACCCUCCGGAUCGGCCCGCGCCAACGCAAGUUGAGCAAAGGCCGAGAAGUUGGGUAAACCUUACCAUUUAGAGGAAGGUGAAGUCGUAACA